UUCCGGUUGAUCCUGCCGGACCUGACUGCUAUCGGAUUGAUACUAAGCCAUGCGAGUCGAGAGUCUUAGGGACUCGGCGUACCGCUCAGUAACACGUGGGUAACCUGCCCUAUGCUGGGGAAUAACCUCGGGAAACUGAGAAUAAUGCCCCAUAGUUCACUACGCCUGGAACGGUGAGUGGAUGAAAGCUCCGGCGGCAUAGGAUGGGCCUGCGGCGUAUCAGGUCGUAGGGGGUGUAACGUACCCUCUAGCCAUCGACGCGUACGGGUGUUGGGAGACAUAGCCCGGAGAUGGAUUCUGAGACACGAAUCCAGACCCUACGGGGUGCAGCAGGCGCGAAAACUUGGCAAUGCGAGAAAUCGUGACCAGGGAACUCCAAGUGGCUGGGGUAAGACCCAGUCUUUUCUUGACUCUUCAAAGGUCUUGGAAUAAGAGGUGGGUAAGGACGGUGCCAGCCGCCGCGGUAAUACCGGCGCCUCAAGUGGUAGUCGAUUUUAUUGGGCCUAAAACGUCCGUAGCCUGUUUGGUACAUUCGUGGGUAAAUCAACCAGCUCAACUGGUUGAAUUCUGCGAGCACGGCCAGACUUGGGACCGGGAGAGGUGUGGGGUACGCUCAGGGUAGGGGUAAAAUCCUGUCAUCCUGAGCGGACCACCUGUUGCGAAGGCGCCACACUAGAACGGAUCCGACGGUCAGGGACGAAGCCUAGGGGCACGAACCGGAUUAGAUACCCGGGUAGUCCUAGGUGUAAACGCUGUGGACUUGGUGUUGGGGAUUCUCCGAGGAUUCUCAGUGCCGAAGCGAAGGUGAUAAGUCCACUGCCUGGGGAGUACGGUCGCAAGACUGAAACUUAAAGGAAUUGGCGGGGGAGCACCGCAACCUGAGGAUUGUGCGGUUUAAUUGGAUUCAACGCCGG
rnacentral:rRNA from 1 species